rnacentral:rRNA from 1 species
GCUUAACACAUGCAAGUCGAACGAUGAUGCCAGCUUGCUGGUGGAUUAGUGGCGAACGGGUGAGUAACACGUGAGUAACCUGCCCUUGACUCUGGGAUAAGCCUGGGAAACUGGGUCUAAUACCGGAUAUGACCUUCCAUCGCAUGGUGGUUGGUGGAAAGCUUUUGUGGUUUUGGAUGGACUCGCGGCCUAUCAGCUUGUUGGUGGGGUAAUGGCCUACCAAGGCGACGACGGGUAGCCGGCCUGAGAGGGUGACCGGCCACACUGGGACUGAGACACGGCCCAGACUCCUACGGGAGGCAGCAGUGGGGAAUAUUGCACAAUGGGCGAAAGCCUGAUGCAGCGACGCCGCGUGAGGGAUGACGGCCUUCGGGUUGUAAACCUCUUUCAGUAGGGAAGAAGCGUAAGUGACGGUACCUGCAGAAGAAGCGCCGGCUAACUACGUGCCAGCAGCCGCGGUAAUACGUAGGGCGCAAGCGUUAUCCGGAAUUAUUGGGCGUAAAGAGCUCGUAGGCGGUUUGUCGCGUCUGCCGUGAAAGUCCGGGGCUCAACUCCGGAUCUGCGGUGGGUACGGGCAGACUAGAGUGAUGUAGGGGAGACUGGAAUUCCUGGUGUAGCGGUGAAAUGCGCAG